rnacentral:snRNA from 1 species
AAAAAGAAAAUUGGAACAAUACAGAAAAUAUUAGCAUGGCCCCUGCACAAGGAUGACACACAAUUCGUGAAGCAUUCCAUAUUUUU